rnacentral:rRNA from 1 species
CCUGAUGCAGCGACGCCGCGUGAGGGAUGACGGCCUUCGGGUUGUAAACCUCUUUCAGCAGGGACGAAGCGAAAGUGACGGUACCUGCAGAAGAAGCACCGGCCAACUACGUGCCAGCAGCCGCGGUAAUACGUAGGGUGCAAGCGUUGUCCGGAAUUACUGGGCGUAAAGAGCUCGUAGGCGGUUUGUCGCGUCGUCUGUGAAAACUCGAGGCUCAACCUCGAGCUUGCAGGCGAUACGGGCAGACUUGAGUACUGCAGGGGAGACUGGAAUUCCUGGUGUAGCGGUGAAAUGCGCAGAUAUCAGGAGGAACACCGGUGGCGAAGGCGGGUCUCUGGGCAGUAACUGACGCUGAGGAGCGAAAGCGUGGGUAGCGAACAGGAUUAGAUACCCUGGUAGUCCACGCCGUAAACGGUGGGCGCUAGGUGUGGGUUUCCUUCCACGGGAUCCGUGCCGUAGCUAACGCAUUAAGCGCCCCGCCUGGGGAGUACGGCCGCAAGGCUAAAACUCAAAGGAAUUGACGGGGGCCCGCACAAGCGGCGGAGCAUGUGGAUUAAUUCGAUGCAACGCGAAGAACCUUACCUGGGUUUGACAUAUACCGGAAAGCCGUAGAGAUACGGCCCCCCUUGUGGUC